CGGAACUGUGUUUCGUUGGAGGGAAGGCAUGGAGGGAAGGAGUGGGUGGAGAUCUGGACCAUGAUUAGCCCAUCUCUGUGUGGUGGAGAUCCCAGAACUGCAGCCCGACGACUGGAUACGGUCAGGCUCAUCUACUGCUCUCCUUCUGGAGCUCAGGACUUGUCCGUUAAAGCCCCCCCGUCCUCCCCGUGUCAUCGAUGGCCUUCCAGCAUACAUGUCUCUGUUUUUCUAGUCUUCCCCGUUCUGACCUUUUGCCUGCCCUGACACUGAGCCCGCCUGCCUGACCAUUCAGCCUGCCCUGACCUCAAGCCCGCCUGCCGCCCUGUACCUUUUGGACUCUGACCUGGUUAAUGAACUUCUGCCUGUCCUCGACCUGCCUCUUGUCUGACCCUUACUUUUUAAUAAAUA